GACGAACGCUGGCGGCGUGCCUAACACAUGCAAGUCGAGCGAAUGAAGUUCCUUCGGGAAUGGAUUUAGCGGCGGACGGGUGAGUAACACGUGGGCAACCUGCCUCAUAGAGGGGAAUAGCCUCCCGAAAGGGAGAUUAAUACCGCAUAAGAUUGUAGUACCGCAUGAUACAGCAAUUAAAGGAGCAAUCCGCUAUGAGAUGGGCCCGCGGCGCAUUAGCUAGUUGGUGAGGUAAUGGCUCACCAAGGCGACGAUGCGUAGCCGACCUGAGAGGGUGAUCGGCCACAUUGGGACUGAGACACGGCCCAGACUCCUACGGGAGGCAGCAGUGGGGAAUAUUGCACAAUGGGGGAAACCCUGAUGCAGCAACGCCGCGUGAGUGAUGACGGCCUCCGGGUUGUAAAGCUCUGUCUUCAGGGACGAUAAUGACGGUACCUGAGGAGGAAGCCACGGCUAACUACGUG
rnacentral:rRNA from 1 species